rnacentral:rRNA from 1 species
CUGGCGGCGUGCCUAAUACAUGCAAGUCGAACGGUCUUUCUAUGGAAGCUUGCUUCCACUGAGAAGAUAGUGGCGAACGGGUGAGUAACACGUGGGUAACCCUGCCCAUAAGAGGGGGAUAACAUCCGGAAACGGGUGCUAAUACCGCAUAGUUUUCUUGAUCGCAUGAUCGGGAAAGGAAAGACGGCCUUUGUGCUGUCGCUUAUGGAUGGACCCGCGGCGUAUUAGUUAGUUGGUGAGGUAACGGCUCACCAAGACGAUGAUACGUAGCCGACCUGAGAGGGUGAUCGGCCACAUUGGGACUGAGACACGGCCCAAACUCCUACGGGAGGCAGCAGUAGGGAAUCUUCCGCAAUGGACGAAAGUCUGACGGAGCAACGCCGCGUGAGUGAAGAAAAGGGUUUUCGGAUCGUAAAACUCUGUUGUCAGAGAAGAACAAGUUGGAGAGUAACUGCUCCAGCCUUGACGGUAUCUGACCAGAAAGCCACGGCUAACUACGUGCCAGCCGCGGC